rnacentral:rRNA from 1 species
UACAGAGGGUGCGAGCGUUAAUCGGAAUUACUGGGCGUAAAGCGCGCGUAGGCGGCUUUGCAAGUCGGGUGUGAAAUCCCCAGGCUUAACCUGGGAACUGCAUUCGAGACUGCAUUGCUAGAGUACAGCAGAGGAUAGCGGAAUUCCCGGUGUAGUGGUGAAAGUGCGUAGAUAUCGGGAGGAACACCAGUGGCGAAGGCGGCUAUCUGGGCUGAAACUGACGCUGAGGCGCGAAGGCUAGGGGAGCAAACAGG